UUAUCAUCUCUCACGCUAACAUCUUCCUCCAAACUUGAAAUUCUCUCUCCCGACUCUUUUCAAGAGAUCAUGUCUCCCUCUUUCAAAGCAGCUACCCUCUCCCUCUUUUCUCAGCCUUUCAACCCUAAUCUUUCUGUUAAUUCACAUCUGUUCUUUUCUAUUUUCUCAGGGCUCAAACACAGACUCUACCCAAACCUUUGACCAAUAAUUUUUUUAGGUUUUAUUGUUAAAACCGAACUUUAGUAUUUACUCAAACGUUUCAUCGUACCUCUCGCUCAAGCCCAGUCCCUAUCUUAGAAAGUCAAUGAUAUUUAAUGGUCAGAUUUGUUCAAACCGUGAAUUUCCAUCGCCUUCAAUUCAUCUGUGGGCUUCCAACAGAGACUUGGAAAAGGGUUGCAGAGACUCACUAAUGUUGACCAACCGAGUUGGCUAUGCGAUUGAAAGAAUAGUGGAAGCGAUAACAACAACCCAGACCCACCUACGGUUUCCUUCAAUUUUAUCAUCAUUCAAAUACUUUGGUUUGAUCAAAGCACAUGGAGGAGACCAUCAAUAUCAACAUGAUUAGAACGAUGUCAAAUGAAGAUUCAUUUUGGAUGACAACAACGUUAAGAGCUGGUUGAUGGCAGCCAGAUGGGGAGAGCUGGAAAUCACCAGGUCUUACUGAGAGACAGUAUCUCAGUGAUCAUUUUCUACACUUGGAGGCACUCAUAGUUUGUAUUAGAAUUUUCUUAUGCUCCCCUGAUCAAAUGGGAGCUUAAUUUUAGCCAAAGAUGCAAACUUUAAAAUUUGGUCAAGGUGUUGGUCCAACUCAUAGAGGAAUCUGGGGUUAAAAGCAAAGAUAAAAUUAGGAGCUUUGUUGAUAAUUAGCUUUUGAAUUGAUAGCCUAAGACCAGAUUAAAAGUAAAAUAUUUACAUAGAAUUGAAGUAAUGAAUUGGUCUAAGACUUAAACCAGAAAAUGCAUAUUAGCCUUUUUCUUCUGCUACCAACAAAGUUUGUCAUAUGAUUCACCAUGUACCAGUAAUUGUUUUUGCUUUUCAAAUAGCAUGCAUAAGUUACAAUUUGAUUA